AAUGGCAGAUGAUGAAUAAUAAUCUUAUCCUACACACUGAAUUUAUCGUGUUGAUUACAUCUCCGCUUAUUGUCUGAUGCCAAU